AUGAACGAAGAAGAGAGUAAGGAGCUGCCCAUAGUUUUUACUGAGACAAGUUCAUCUAUCUUAGACGAAUUGAUACAAUUUGAUCCGCCGGAACUUCACUUCCCCAUUUUGCCAAACAAGAAGGUGUUGUCCUCAAUUAAGAUAGUGAAUCUUACAGAUUACAAUGUUGGUUUCAAUACAUAUAGCAGGCCAACAAGUGCGGCACCGUACCACACAGAGCCAUCGAGAGGAAUCCUGACACCACGGUCCACACAAAAACUUAUGGUAACAAGAGAAGAAAAGGAAGAUACAUUAGAAGAUAAGCAGCUCAAUGAAAAGUACUUUGUGUGGACAAGCAUUUUAUCUGAAGGUGUCAAAGACGGCGAACUUAGUGAUUACAUGGAUGACCAAGAGAGCAAGGAGCUGCCCAUUGUUCUUGACAAGAUAAGCUCAUUAACCUCCUCAGAUGAGCUGAUCCAGUUGGAUCCCGCCGAGCUCUGCAUGCCCCACUGGCCAAACAAGGAAAUGAAGUUCAUAGUAAAUAUAGUCAACACUACAGAUUUCUAUGUUGCUUUCAAUGUAUAUACCAUCAGCAGGAAUGCAUCACGGGACAAGGAACCUGCAGGUAGAGCAUCGAAAGGAAUCCUACCACCACGAUCCACUAAAAGACAAAUACUAAAUUGGAUAAUUGAUGAGACGGAGGAGCCCGUAGAAGAUUACUUUGUGUGGAGCCGUGUUGUGACUGAAGGUGUUGAAAGCAGAGACAUCAUUGGUUACAUGGUUGAGGAAGAGAGUAAGAAACUGCCCUUUAUUAUUCUUAAUAAGGCAAGCCCGGCAUGUAGCUCAAAAGAGCUGAUCCAGUUUGAGCCGCCAGAGCUGAGCCUCCCCUUGAUGAUGAUGCCAAACAAGCCCUUGCUGUUUUCAGUUAAUAUAGUCAACAGUACAGACUACUAUGUUGGUUUUGAUAAAUAUAACCCGCAAACAAAUGUGGCCUGGUACUACACAAAACCUGCGGGUGGAGUUAUGCCACCACGGGCCACUCAAAGACUGGUAGUAUUAAGGGUACCGAAGAAAAAGGAGGAGCUGCUUAGUGAGUGCCAAGACGAUAAGUUCCUUGUAUGGAGCUGCUUAGUCAAUGAAGGUGCCAAAGCCAGCAACUUUUACGAUUAUACUAAAUACGAAGGGAGUAAGGAGUUGCCAAUUGUUUAUACUACUAACAAGACAAGCAGCUUAUGCACCUCAGACGAGUUGAUUCAGUUUGAUCAUCCACAGCUCCCGUUCAUCUUCCUUCCCAACAUGAGGGUACCCAUGUUGCGCUUGCUUAAAAUAGUCAAUGUUACAGAUCACAUCGUUGGUUUCAGUACAUGGUCUCAUGAAGCCAAUUCUGCGUCGUACACAAUGGAACCGCGUGCAGGGAUCCUGCCACCACAGUCCACGCAAGCAAUCAAGGUAAGAAGGACCCCAAAGAAAAAUUUAACAGAAGACAUGCAGUGCAAAGACAAGAUUUUUGUGUGGAAUGGAAUUGUGACUGAAGGUGUCCAAGUUAGCGAUGUCCAAAUAUACUGGAAGGAUGACGAUAAAGAGUUACCCAUUGUUCUAACAAAGUGCCAAGGACAAAAAUAG
rnacentral:rRNA from 1 species